rnacentral:rRNA from 1 species
GACGAACGCUGGCGGCGUGCCUAAUACAUGCAAGUCGAGCGGGCCUCCGGAGGUGCUUGCACCUCCGGAAGGCCAGCGGCGGACGGGUGAGUAACACGUGGGCAACCUGCCUUUGAGGCCGGGAUAACACCGGGAAACCGGUGCUAAUACCGGAUACGUCCUCUUUCGCGCCUGCGAGAGGGGAGAAAGACGGUCGUUAAGGCCGUCGCUCAAAGAGGGGCCCGCGGCGCAUUAGCUGGUUGGUGGGGGAAGGGCCUGCCAAGGCGACGAUGCGUUGCCGAACUGGUGGGGGGAUCGGCCACACUGGGACUGAGACGCGGCCCAGACUCCUGCGGGAGGCAGCAGUAGGGAAUCAUCCGCAAUGGGCGAAAGCCUGACGGUGCAACGCCGCGUGAGUGAGGAAGGUUUUCGGAUCGUAAAGCUCUGUUGUGAGGGAAGAACAGCUUCCGGAGGAAAUGCCGGAGGUUUGCCGGUACCUCACCAGAAAGCCCCGGCUAACUACGUGUCAGCCGCCGCGGUAA